UGGGGAAUAUUGGACAAUGGGCGAAAGCCUGAUCCAGCCAUGCCGCGUGUGUGAAGAAGGUCUUCGGAUUGUAAAGCACUUUAAGUUGGGAGGAAGGGCAUUAACCUAAUACGUUAGUGUUUUGACGUUACCGACAGAAUAAGCACCGGCUAACUCUGUGCCAGCAGCCGCGGUAAUACAGAGGGUGCAAGCGUUAAUCGGAAUUACUGGGCGUAAAGCGCGCGUAGGUGGUUUGUUAAGUUGGAUGUGAAAGCCCCGGGCUCAACCUGGGAACUGCAUUCAAAACUGACUGACUAGAGUAUGGUAGAGGGUGGUGGAAUUUCCUGUGUAGCGGUGAAAUGCGUAGAUAUAGGA
rnacentral:rRNA from 1 species